AGCUAGCUAGAUACUUAUUUAUGAUGCAUUACCUUAAAAAAAAUUACAUGCUGAUUGGUCACUGAGAUCCUGAAUAUGCUAAAAGAGGAAUGUCUGUGGGAAACCCUGGAAUUUCUGGGUUUCCUGUGACUAAACACUGCUCAGAUUAUUGAAGAGUGGGGACCUAUAAGGGACAAUGUUCCUAUUAUUAAACCCCCUUCAAAAACAGCUGAUUUCUUGAAUAAAUAAGGGCAAAACUUUCUGACAACUGAGGAAAGAGUUGUAGCAGCAUCUGCUGUGGCAUGGUUGCUGCUACCUACCGCUAUUAACACAUGCCAUUCCUCAGAGAAGGAAUUAAAAGACGAAAAUGAGCUUUUAAAAGCUCGUAGUAGACAACUGGAAAAUAAGAUUACAUAUUUGACAAGAUAAACUGCCCUACCUUCAAAUGGAACUUCCAUUUUAAAAUUAAGACCCAUAUCACUAUCACUAGAGGGGGAAAAAGACCUGAAUCAGCAGGAUCCUUGGAUCCUAGUUGAAUCCAUGAAGAAAAAGAAGGCCAAGCAGACUAAAAUCCGAACAGAGGAUCUUGGAACAUCAGAUUUUCUAUAAAUAAGGCCAGUAAUGACUCAUAGACAAAGGAAAUCUGGGGUAGGCUAGCAGGUUUGUCACACAAAGAGUAGUCCCCCUGCCCACAACAGUCUAAAUAUAAUAGCAUGACCGUACACAGCUGCUGAACUUAUGGACUUGUUACAGUGGUUUAAACGAGGAAGCCAAGAAGCUGUAUCAGCCUGGCUUUUUUGGAUUAUGGGCUAUAGGGGCUGAAAGUGUGGUAAUUAAUGGGCAUGAGAUUUCCAAACUGCCUUCCAUUACCACACAUCUGGCCCUGAAACAGACUGUGUGUGAAGAUAAUACAUAAUGAAGAAAACCAUUCUUUAAUUCAGUGGAUAAUGGCAGUAUGUAGAAUUACAUGGCCAAACAAAAGUAGCGUACUGAUUAAAUACCAGUUUAUGGACCUCAAUGGAAGAACUUCAAAAUUAUAUUAAAGUAUUAGGAAUGAAGGAGGCAAUAUACGAUGAUGCCUUUGAGAGUCUAGAUUUGGUUAAAUUUUUGGUGGGAAUGAGGGACCUCAUAAUACAAUAAGCUCCUCCCCACCAGUAUGGCCCACUGGUGUCUAUACUGGGCUCCUUAGUGGCCUCAGAGGCCAUCAUCCAACAGGCUGCCUAAUUGGUGGCUGGCACUGGAAGGGGCCAAGGUCCUCCCUGUAACUAAAACCAGGAGACCAGCCCCACAGACUCCUCUAUCGGGACCUAUAUAGGUAUCCCAAAAACAAGUGUUCAAUGACUUAAUCUGGGCUGUGGUUCAAUUUGCUAAAAUUGGUUGCAAGCCCAGUCCCCCUCCAGCUGUGGAGACAACUGAAGAACAAGAAAAAGAUUCAAAAUAUCCCCAAAAAAGCAGGGGUGGGAAUUAUUAUAGAAAUACCAACAAGAACCUGAAAGAUUUCCUAGUUCCCAGUAAAAGAAAAAACCCUCCUCAAGCAGCCUGGGCGACUAUGCCCAAGCCACCUGAGGCAUUAAUAACACAAACAUCUGAGGUCAUAGUUAAGGCCACCCUGCCAAUACAGGGGUAGGUGAAAGAUUUGACUCGCCUUCCUAAGACAGGAGUGGCCCAAGCACAAACAGUGGAACAGUGGGUCAUUUAUCUCAGCCAGAGAAAUUGUCUGUCUUUGUCACAGUUGAAAGAACUCCAGAAGAUCCUAGGCUCAGUAAUGUAUCACAGUGAUGUGCCAAAAGACAUGAUGGUCUCUCCUCCAGAGAAGAGUCUCAUUCAGGAAGGGAAAUAUCCCAUUCCUGAAGGUGCUUGGUAUGCAGAUGGGUCCAGCAAGGGCAAACCAAGCAAGUGGAGAGCAGUAGCAUACCAUCCCUCCACUGAAACAUUCUGGCUUGAAGAGGGGGAUGGUCAGAGUAGCCAAUGGGCAGAACUGUGAGCUGUGUGGAUGGUUAUAACCAAGGAACCUGGUGAUGAUAUCCUGACUUUCUGCACAGAUAGUUGGGCUGUGUACUGGGGGCUCGCUUUUUGGAUUGCACAGUGGGCCACCCAGGAAUGGAUGAUUUGCUAUUGACCAAUCUGGGCCAGAAAAAUGUGAUUUAACACAGGACUGUACAUGUCUACCAUGUUUCUGGCCACCAACAUUUACAGUCACCAGGAAAUGAUGAAGCCAACACACUGGCUGAAGUUCAAUGUACUGAGGGUUCAACAUCUGAGAAUAUUGCCCACUGGUUACAUCAGAAGCUGUGGUAUGCAGGACAAAAGACAACGUGGGCAGUUGCUAAAGCAUGGGGGCUGCUCAUACAACUGUCUGAUGUGCUGCGCUGAUCCCUUGUCAGAGUGAAGUGUGCUCAUUCUAGGUUACAGCAGAAAAAUGCAUGCGGAUUGCCAGUGAGAGAAGAGUAAUUUAGUACGCUGGUGAAGGAAUAAAAGCAACACUGAUCUCAGAGGUGUGAACCAUGCUCACAGGAUGGUGGUUGUGCAGCAGGUCAAUGUAUUUUUGAAACCUCCUGCAGAAUAAUGUUGCAGGGAUAAAUUUCUUGCUUCAGUGAUGAAGAUAGAUUAGAAUGACUGUUCUUGGCCUAUUUUAUUAAAUGGUUUUCCUACGGUUUGCAUCAUCAACUGUUCUGCUAGAAGAAAAUUUGUGGCAUUUCCUUUCAGCAUCAUGUGUUCUACAGAACAGGAGUUCUGACUACCUCCAUUAUGAUGUUCUUUCCUCAUUGCCUGCAUCUUAUCAGCCCCUGGGCUGCAGGCAGAAAAAAGUAGACCCCCUGGGCUGAUCUGAAUGCUGUCAUUCAUGAUAAAGCUGACACAAUAUCUAGGGCCUAAAGGCACAACUGCACAUGUCCACACAGGCUCCAGGCUCCUAAAUCUACUUCUACAGACAGGCAGGCCGGCACCAGCUCUGGUGCUUAAAGCCAGAAAAGAUUGCAACUUCAAUGGGACAUAAAUCCGCAGCCGGAGAGUCCGGCACAAAUCCUGUGGCCAGAAAACACAGGCAGAGAGAAUGGCACCGGCGCCGGAGCGUGAUACCAGAGCCACAGACACAGAGGCAAGAUGCAGCAUUGGACUUAGAGCCAGUCAAAGGCAGGCAAAACGGCACACACCCUAGGCCUGAAGCCACAGACACUACCUGAGAGGCAAGCAUGGUUCCCUGCAUUUGGGAACAGAAGCAAGCAGGAUGCUAGAGAUCCAUCUGCACCUUCCAGAGCAGAGGGACACAACAGGGACGGAUCGUCUUUACCGCCAUGCAAAAGAAUGAAGCCUGUGUGUCCAUGUAGUGCUGCUGGGCAUGGGUGUAACCAGAAAGCCUCAUCUGCGAGGGAGGCACAAAUGAAGCAGGGAAUAGAGAAGACUGGAUUUGGCAGCACUAAGACUUUUCUUGCUGGCAACGUACAGCGAAGCCGUCGAUAGGAAAGGCGGAGUCCGAAAGCCCUUCUGCCAAGGGUCAGCUGCUGCCGGCCCGUCCAUUCCCAUGCACAACUUCCAAAACCUGCAUUAUGCAGCACAAUUCCUGAUUACCUUGAGCAGCUGUGAGAUCGCAACACCAGCUUGUUGCCUGUGACAUCAUUCUGGAGCACACAUCCCACGCCGAGAUACCUGAGGAACAAACAGAGGGACAACAUCAUUGAAUUCCUUCCUGGUUAUUACUUGCAACAUCUAUUUCCUUGCACUGUUCUUCAGUGCUAGUUACUUGAUUCUUGGAGAGGAGGGGAGGAGUAACAUAGUCCAGAAGACAUCACGCCCAGAGGAAGAAAGAUGGUGCUCCUGGCAGGUCGUGAAUGUCUCUCUCUUACUUAGUGACAUAGAAGAAGAUGUUUCCCCUGCAGUCAAAAGAGCACAACAGCUAACAGAUCUAGAGCAGAAACUAGCAGUUGCAAAAGGCAAAUAAGAAAAGGCAGCCCUUGAUAAAGAGUCACAGCUGAAAGCUCUGAAGGAGACUGUGAAGCUUUGCCUGUCUUUUGUUCUGCACAAUCAGCCACCCACUAACCAUCAAGUCCCUACAAAACCAGCAGAGAAGCUGACAUCUACAGCUACAAGGUGCUCAAAAGUUCAAUUUCCAGUGGCAAGCACCAAGCAAAAUGUCUCAUCAGAGAAAGAGAGUCUUCAUGUGACCUCAAGAAAGGAAGAAAAUCAGAGCAUCCAGGAGCGUGAUUCUCAAGAUGCUCGCAAGACGUGCUUGGGGAAUCGCAAUAAUUCAGCAUCUCAGUUGAAGACUGCAGAAACAGAGACAAACUUUCAGAAAUUUCAUCAAGUAACUGUCUGUUCCUUCCUGACAUUAAACUCAUUCCACCCUGACGUUUUGCUUGUGUUUCCCUACUCAGGAGUGGAUGCUGCAGAAUGCUGGGGUGUCAGCUUCAAGGAUGAUAUUCAUAUUAAAGGCUGCUGUGGUAGGUACUGAUACGAUCCAGGAUCACAUCCCAUUGACAGAAGACAUGUUCUGCACGUGCAUUGAGUCGCAUCCCUCCGGUCACUGACCACUGACAGUUGAUUUGGCACAGAGCUUGCUGGAUGAGCAUCUGGCAUCCUGGCUGAAGGACAUGUCUGAAACUAUUAGUGAUGAACCCCAUCAUUGGCUCGGGCACCACAGCAAGCAUACUUCAGGGCAGAUACCAUGAUGUCACUCAUUGUGGGAGUAGCAUUCAACCAGUAGGACAUGAGGACAAUCAUGAGGACAAGCCUCCAGGUGAACAGCAAGAUCUUGUUGCCCUUUCUUAUGCUAGAGAAGGGAGGCCAGUGUCAGGGUCCGGCCUUCAUCUAAAAGGUAACUUAUGGUCAACAAAUUUACUUGAAGUUGAAGAACACAGGGUAGCGCUGAGAUGAAAAUCAAGGAAAAUAGGCAAGUUUUUAAAUCAAAAGGACUAGACAUGGAAAUUUGAUGUAUAGUGGAGAAUCAGUUAGAAAAUUGGUUGCAAACUGCUUGGCAUGAGGGACAAAUUGAUGCUCAUAUAUUUUUUUAUCAGACUUCUUCUUUACAAAAUAUGGUAUCUGACCACUGUUACGGAUUGUAGAAAUUCCCUGCCCUCCUCUUAACCUACCGAACACUUCCCCACUGGAGGGUAGCCUUUCAAAUACCAAUGGGGGAAGUCCUAAAGCUUCAGCAAGAAUAUAUGUGAUGAGAAAAGGACAACUUUAUACCUUACAUUUGUUAUUUUUUAUUAUCUAUCUCCCUACUGGCAAAAAUGUUUACUCAUUUUAGUGUGUCUACUAAAUAAUUGGCAGAAAAGCACUUCCAUUAUUGCUAAUGUCUAUUGUCCAUUUUUUCCUCUGUGAUAUGUCCUGACUUCAAUGUCAGUGAUCUCAAAGAUGAAAUCAUGGAAAAAUGAGUCUGCAGCACAUGCAGUUUGCAGUGUGUGCUGUCACUGCUAUCAGGGGCUUCUCAGAAGAAAAGUAAGGGCUAUGGGGUUUGCUCACUCUAGAAAACUGGAGCAGUGGUCUAUUCAUAUGCUCUAAUCAGAGCACACAGAGAUUCAACCAUUAAGCUCCUAUCAAAGUUAAUUAAAGUUUUCAAGUCAAAGGUUUGAAAUGCAGACAUGGUACAGAGAGCUAUAUUUCCUCUGAGAAUUGUAUUCAAGUUCAUCAUCACAGCUCUAUUCAGUUUCCUGUUAAUUCAUGUCUUUUUCCAGGUGGUUUUAGCCAUCAGAACAAGACCUAAAGGGCUCAGGAAGUGCACGUUGUGAGCUGGGCCCGAAUCCUAUGCUGAAGCCCCCCACAUUAACCUGGAGCUGUCAGCUAGAUCUACACAAUCAAACAAAAGUGUAAGGCUGAGCUGUUGGGCAAUUCCAAGAGAUAUAGCAAUGAAGAGAGUACUGGAAGAAGGACAAAAAUAUGCACUGUGAUCUGAGAGUUUUGCAUAUUCUUUUGAAAACAAAGAGCUUUCCCUUUCAUUUUUCCCCCUUUAUUUAUAGAGUGAAUAUUCUUAAAAUUCGUCUUUAAUAGAUCUAUUGCACCAGUUCGGUCUCUCUAAUAUGCAGUAGAAGAUUCAGCAUUUGAAAUAUCACAGAAAGAUAUUAGCUAACUGAGCACUAACAAUGUCACACGGAUGUCUGCUUAUCAUGCAAAUAGUUUAUUUAGAUGCAAAGACUAAUUAGACUCUAAUGAUUAAGAUAUGAAAAAUGGGAGUUCCUUUGUAUUGUUUCAGAGCACAUGACCAGAAUUUCAGUGCCUUUUCUCAAGUAGUUCAGAAAACAAUACUGAAGUUAGCAACAGAAAUGAGGGCCACGAACAGUGUAUACAAAGGAGGCUUGAUUUCUCAUACAGUGGUAGAGAAUGGGCUGCAGAACAGAUGCUUUUAAAUCAGCAGAGCAUUGUGCAAACAGCUGUUAACCAGACACAGCAUCUAAUUUCACCAACAGUACUCUUGAUUUUGCUGCUACCAUGCAGUUUCAGCAUGACAUUCAGAAAGAGCUCUCAGCUGGUUUAUGUAGUAAUUUGUAAGCCCUGCUUUGCAGCAGCGUAACUGACAGAUACUACCUUUGAGUUCCAGGAAAUAAUACAGCUUAUAACCUUUUGUGAAAUGUGAGUGAGUUCUCACUGAACCUUAAACCUAAACUGCUUCCUGACCUUUUCAUGAUCCCACACCUAUUAUUUUUCUCUCUAAAUGAUGCUCUACAUUUGUACAUCAAUUCUGUUUAUUACUGUUCCUGAAGAUGACUUAAUCAUCCUAAUAUGUAGUGUAAGGGUCUUGCUUUUGUAAGAAACCACUGAUAGCGUGCAGAAAGCAGAGCCUCCAUUCAGGGAUGGGUCAGAUGGCCAAGCGUUGGAUCAGCACAAAGUCCACAAUGGAGCACUGUGCACUAAACAGACCACAAGUAUUUCAGGUCAUGGAAAACACAUCAUUUAUUCAUACUAUAGCAAGUUAUUUCUUAAGACAGCAGAUGAAAGCAGGAGUCUUUUCCAUGACAAAAGCGGGCUUUUGAAUGGUCCAAGCACCUGCAAAUACACACACACACACAAAGCAAUUUAGAAAAGGCUUCCCAAUAUUUCUUGGUGGUUUUGCAUUGAAGUGAACAACUCUAGACAUCAAACUGAAGCGUGUUGUUCACCACAUUGGAUAUAAGCGCCCAAACUUGUUUUCUCUUCCUCCUCCAUCAUUACUUGGUAAAGCUUGACAGAUGCUACUGCUUACUGGGGGGGUGGAUGGAUGUAACACUGAGAAGGAAACUUAAUUUACAGGAGAGCUCAGCAGCUCUCUGAGUCUUGACAUGCUUAAGUUAUGUCAAGGUCUCUGAAGUAAUUUGUUGCCCACAUGUGAUUUUAACCUGCUCCCUAACAAAUUAAUCCAAGCUACCACUGAAAACCUGAGUGUAUGAUCUGAUCUUUGUAUUACACCGCUAUCAUAAGCACAAGGAUAACAGAUGGGGCAAUCCAUCCUCUGUGUAAAUGGGCAGUUGUCAUCUGAACUGCAGAAAGGUACUUCUCAUAAAAGGGUUUGUGAUCAGUGCUGAUUUUUCUGCUUUUCAGAUUUGUUUUGCAGCAUCCUGGGCUGUUGCUAACAUAUUAAGGUUUAUGUAUCACUACUGUGCAUUUCUUCCUUCAGAGUGGAAACUACAAGCAUGAAUAUGAAGAGAAAAAAAGAUAACAGAAUUGUGCUUCAUAGCCAGAUUGCUUUUACGAGUCCCCAUUGUUUAUCCUACAUCAUACACCUAACAUCAAUUACAUUAAUCAUAGUGGAGAAUGGUUGGACUAGGUGAUCCUGUGAGUCUUUUCCAACCUUGGUGAUUCUAUGAUUCUAUGAAUGUGAAUCUAUCAGUGAGGAAGUCUAUAAACAUGACAAAAAAGCGCCACACUCUACUCACCAUCACUUAAUCUCUUUUUUUCUUUCUUAAAUCUCUCAUAGGUGACAGUGGUGAUUAAAAAAAUUAUGAGGCAACAUAUUGUCCAAACAUUGUUGUUUCUAUAACAACAUAAGUUAGAAACAUAAGUUGUUUCUAUAGCACAUUUAUACAUUUAUGAAGACAAUAUUUUCAUUAAAAAGAUGACCAAUUAUUAAAGAAAGAAAGUUAUUAGGGUGGUGUUGUAGUAAGCGUCUUGCGGGGGCACGGGAUGUACGGGACAGGCCUCUCCCUAAGCAUAGAGAGACAGUGCUAUUGUGCUGACCUUGAUGCAGAGAAAACAGGAGAAGAAGAAGAAUAAGAAAAGAA